rnacentral:rRNA from 2 species
UGGGGAAUAUUGCGCAAUGGGGGAAACCCUGACGCAGCGACGCCGCGUGAGCGAAGAAGGCCUUAGGGUUGUAAAGCUCUGUUUUAGGGGAAGAAUGUUCGUAUCAGGAAUAUGGGUAUGAAAUGACGGUACCCUAAGAGGAAGCCCCGGCUAACUACGUGCCAGCAGCCGCGGUAAGACGUAGGGGGCGAGCGUUGUCCGGAAUUACUGGGCGUAAAGAGCACGUAGGCGGAGACUUAAGUCAGGUGUGAAAGGCCGGGGCUCAACCCCGGGGUUGCACUUGAAACUGGGUCCCUUGAGGGCAGGAGAGGGCAGUAGAAUUCCUGGUGUAGCGGUGAAAUGCGUAGAAAUCAGGAGGAAUACCAGUGGCGAAGGCGACUGCCUGGACUGACCCUGACGCUGAGGUGCGAAAGCGUGGGUAGCAAACAGG